GUGCCCCUUUUGGCAGCACAUAUGCAAAAACUGGAACAAUACAGGGAAUACAGGCAUGGCCUCUGCACACAGAUGACUCAUGGAGCCAAGAAAAGUUCCAUAUUAGA